UUCUUAGAAUAAGUAUGUCCCCAUGCAACAUUUGGGACAUACUUAUGCUAAAA
rfam:Macaca mulatta chromosome 12, whole genome shotgun sequence.